GGGGGUGGGGGACCCUGGAGGCUGCAACCAUUUACUUCUUAAGCUGUCAACCCCGUUUCAUCCAGAAACUUCCAACCGGUGGAAAACCUCCGUGGCUUGGUUUGGCUCUACUCAAGGAAUAAACCUUUUAAGUGUUACUUUAAACUGAAAUAUAUAGGACAAAUUUUGUAAUUAAAUACAGGUCAGUCAGUGUUCUAAAAGUUUUGGUAGGUUGCAAAGUCUUCAUCUAUUUUAGUUAAGAACUUCGGAGGUGCCAGGGACAUGCAUUUAAGAGUCACUUCGCAUUGAAAUGUUUAAGGUGGCCUGAGAAUGUCUCAGGAGCUGAAGAGAUUGGCAUUUUGUUCCCGUACAGUACAAGUUGUUUGAAGGUACACUAGCGGCAAGCCUUAGUGAUCCUCCUGUUUCCUCCUUUUGGAACUGGGCCUGAAGAUGUCUGUGGGAACACCUGGCUUGUUACAUGGGAGCUGGGAUCUUAACUCCAGUCCUCAUGAUAACAGAGAAAAUGAUCUUAACUGCUGAGCCAUUUCUCCAGCCCUCCUAUCUUGUUUUUAUCCCACGCCGGACUUAGCUGAGCACCUGGACCCUGGGAACUCCAUAACUCCAUUGCCGUGGUUCAUGUAUUUGGCAGGAUGUAUACAAGCAGCCAUGAGAAAAGGAAACCUUAAAACAAGAGACUGCACAAAAAGGCAGCAAAGACAAGAUGGGCCACUCUAAUCAGUCAGAGGCAGUGGGUGCACAAGGACAGGGAGAAUGCUGGGAAGCAUUCACUGGGGUUGCCAAAUGGAAUGUGACUCACCUCAAGAGGAAGUGAAUGGAACUGUGUCACCAGGUCAUCUGCAGCAGUAGCUAUACCAAUAAGAGCUACGACCUUUUCAGGCCGUGCAAUUGCAGCAUGCAGCAUGAGCCAUCCUCCAAAGCUAGAUCCAACCAGUAUCUACAAACAAACACGUAUGGCUUUAAAGAGGAUUCGCAUACUUGUCUAUAAAGAAAAUGCUUUAAGAGAAA